CCUACGGGAGGCAGCAGUGGGGAAUAUUGCGCAAUGGGCGAAAGCCUGACGCAGCGACGCCGCGUGAGGGAUGAAGGUCUUCGGAUCGUAAACCUCUGUCAGCAGGGAAGAACGGUCACUGUGCUAAUCAGCAGUGAAUUGACGGUACCUGCAAAGGAAGCACCGGCUAACUCCGUGCCAGCAGCCGCGGUAAUACGGAGGGUGCGAGCGUUAAUCGGAAUUACUGGGCGUAAAGCGCUCGUAGGCGGUAUGUCAAGUCAAGGGUGAAAUCCCCGGGCCUAACGUGGGAACUGCCUUUGAAACUGGCAGACUGGAGUGUGUGAGAGGAUAGUGGAAUUCCAGGUGUAGGAGUGAAAUCCGUAGAUAUCUGGAGGAACAUCAGUGGCGAAGGCGACUAUCUGGCACAUAACUGACGCUGAGGAGCGAAAGCGUGGGUAGCAAACAGGAUUAGAUACCCCAGUAGUC
rnacentral:rRNA from 1 species